UGAGUUGUUGAGUUUUCUCUGCAUGUCAUGAAUUGUCGCUAUAAAAACGCAGCAGUAAACUUGUGAAACCAGAAGCAAUUUGAACUAGUUCUGUGGAUUCAUUGCACAGGAAGAAGUGUUCGUCUUGACAUGUUUGUGGCUGCGGUAUCAGAUCGUGGCACGUUGAACUUGACAGGGAUGAAGAUCAACCCAAGACAGGUCCUUACCCCACCAACGUGUAACUUCAGCUUUCAGUACAACACGACUCAGCGCACACUCAACGCUGUUGUCAGUGGAGGACAGACUUUGAGCUGUUGAGUCACCGUCCUCGCCAUCAGCUGGUCUGCUCAGGGGACGUCUAAAGUGCCCGAUAAGGCCGCACUCCCACAACAGAGGCACAGUGGGAGUGAGAUGAUUGCAACUUAAGAGACAAACAGAGACUUUUCAAGGACAGUCGCGAGUGAGAACAAACUGAAUAGAAUUAAGUGAAUGAAGUCAGUGAUUAAGGCUGCUUUUGUUUUUAUUGAAGUUGCCAGAUAUUAUUUGAAAUACUGAGAUAGUGCAGCAGCUGGCACCAUGGGGUGGCGCUGUGGGGUCAAGGCGGUGCACCUAUAAAAGGGGAAGUGGCACUUUGCCAUGAAGUGCUAGUUUCCUGUUGGGUGGCCAGGGUAUGGUUGGGCCCCCAGUAGUGGUGAGAAUGCUCCAUUCUCUCUUGAUUUGUAAAUAUAUUUGUUUAUUCUUUCAUAUGUACGGGUGGUAGAUUUUAAUGGAGUUUGCAUGACAGGAUCGGGAGGAGAGGCACCGAUCCGGGCAAAGAGGGAAUGAAUGGGUGUGAGAGUUUGCAGCAGCAGAUUGGUGAUGUCAGAAGAAGAGGCCAUAUGAGCUGUGGCCACAAACACAAACAAUGACUGCAGAUGAACCUUUGAUUGAAGUGUUCUGUUGACAUCUCCCAGAUUCAAGCGUUGAUUCUUUUCUCCCGUUUAGGGGUGCUCUACCUGAGUAAAUCAACUUUGCGUUUCACCCGUUUAUUUGCUUUUUUUAUAAUGAAGUGUCUGUUGUUGGGAAGGAGGAACAAGAUGAGUGAGAGUCCACAUCAGCUUGAAAGACCCUCGAGGCAGUGAGCUUAUUUCAGAAGCGGGUUCAUGUUAUGUGGUUUUCACAUGCCAUGAGGUUGAAAUGGGCCUACGCUCUGCUAACAUAAGCCCCACACAUAAACAGGAGAUGGGGACCUCCUGAUUUAUAAUGUUACACUUGUGAAAUACAAAUAGUCUUAUUCGAAGUGCACUAAAACUAUGCACUGAACAUUUCACUAGUCUAGUAACGUUAGGCAGCAAUUGUUUACUAUGAUGCACUUUUUAACGCUCACUCAAUCUGUAUUACCUAAUUUAUCAUUUUGCCUUUUGUAAAUUAUAUUUAUAGUUCCUGCUUAUAGUCUACCUAUAUUUAAAUGCACGAAUCAACCUGUAUAAUGUGUACAUACCUCAAUCAAUCUGCAUAUCCCGUAUUUAUAUACUACAGUAUGCUGACUUAUA